rnacentral:rRNA from 1 species
GACGAACGCUGGCGGCGUGCCUAAUACAUGCAAGUAGAACGCAGUUGCGAACGGGUGAGUAACGCGUAGGUAACUGCCUCAUCGCGGGGGAUAACUAUUGGAAACGAUAGCUAAUACCGCAUACUGUUAGAUGGACCUGCGUUGUAUUAGCGAGUUGGUGAGGUAAAGGCUCACCAAGGCGACGAUACAUAGCCGACCUGAGAGGAGGAUCGGCCACACUGGGAGUGAGACAAGGCCCAGACUCCUACGGGAGGCAGCAGUAGGGAAUCUUCGGCAAUGGAAGGAAGUCUGGCCGAGUAACGCGGAGUGAGGGAAGAGGGUUUUCGGAUAGUAAAGCUCUGUUGUGAGGGAAGCGGUAACGAACCAGAAAGGGACGGCUAACUACGUGCCAGCAGCCGCGGUAAUAC